GCCUAUUAUCAAAUCACCGUGAAUGCGCCCGAUUUCAUUAGAUCUCAGAAGCUAAGCAGGUUUGAGCCUGCUAAGUAGUAUAGCGAUGGGAGGCUACCUGGGGAUAUAAAAUGGUGCAGGCU
rnacentral:rRNA from 1 species